rnacentral:rRNA from 1 species
GACAGAGGGUGCAAACGUUGUUCGGAAUUACUGGGCGUAAAGCGCGUGUAGGCGGCCCUGCAAGUCGGAUGUGAAAUCCCACGGCUCAACCGUGGAAGUGCAUUCGAAACUGCAGGGCUAGAGUCCUGGAGAGGAAGGUGGAAUGCUUGGUGUAGAGGUGAAAUUCGUAGAUAUCAAGCGGAACACCGGUGGCGAAGGCGGCCUUCUGGACAGUGACGUGACG